rnacentral:rRNA from 1 species
CUACCGGGGUAUCUAAUCCCGUUUGCUCCCCUGGCUUUCGCACCUCAGCGUCAGUAACCAGCCAGUGCAUCGCUUUCGCCGCCGGAGUUCCUUCCGAUAUCAACGCAUUUCACCGCUCCACCGGAAAUUCCAUGCACCCCUCUGGUCCUCAAGCAACGCAGUAUCGGCCGCAGUUCCUCGGUUAGGCCGAGGGAUUUCACAACCGACUUACGUCACCGCCUACGUGCGCUUUAUGCCCAGUGAUUCCGAACAACGCUCGCCACCUUCGUCUUACCGCGGCUGCUGGCAC